CCGGCGUCUAAGGUAGGCUUCCAUUACAAUACCUUACUGAUGAGUCCAGGGAAGCCGGAACGAAACGCCAA
rnacentral:hammerhead_ribozyme from 15 species